CUACGGGGUGCAGCAGUGGGGAAUAUUGCACAAUGGAGGAAACUCUGAUGCAGCAACGCCGCGUGGAGGAUGACACUUUUCGGAGCGUAAACUCCUUUUAUAUAGGAAGAAGAUGACGGUACUAUAUGAAUAAGCGCCGGCUAACUCCGUGCCAGCAGCCGCGGUAAUACGGAGGGCGCAAGCGUUACUCGGAAUCACUGGGCGUAAAGAGCGUGUAGGCGGAUUAAAAAGUCAGAAGUGAAAUCCUAUAGCUUAACUAUAGAACUGCUUCUGAAACUCUUAAUCUAGAAUAUGGGAGGGGGAGAUGGAAUUUCUGGUGUAGGGGUAAAAUCCGUAGAGAUCAGAAGGAAUACCGAUUGCGAAGGCGAUCUACUAGAACAUUAUUGACGCUGAGACGCGAAAGCGUGGGGAGCAAACAGGAUUAGAUACCCUAGUAGUC
rnacentral:rRNA from 1 species